rnacentral:rRNA from 1 species
GACGAACGCUGGCGGCGUGCUUAACACAUGCAAGUCGAGCGGUAAGGCCCUUUCGGGGGUACACGAGCGGCGAACGGGUGAGUAACACGUGGGUGACCUGCCCUCAGCCCUGGGAUAAGCCUGGGAAACUGGGUCUAAUACUGGAUAUGACUCCACGGUGCAUGUCGUGGGGUGGAAAGCCUUGUGCGGCUGAGGAUGGGCCCGCGGCCUAUCAGCUUGUUGGUGGGGUGAUGGCCUACCAAGGCGACGACGGGUAGCCGGCCUGAGAGGGCGACCGGCCACACUGGGACUGAGACACGGCCCAGACUCCUACGGGAGGCAGCAGUGGGGAAUCUUGCGCAAUGGGCGAAAGCCUGACGCAGCGACGCCGCGUGAGGGAUGACGGCC